rnacentral:lncRNA from 1 species
UGUAUUUAUAGAUUUUUAAAGAUGCCAAGAAGAAAAAAUUGGAGGGCAGCAGAGGCUAAACGUGGUGUGAAAAACCCAAAGAAAAAGACACUGACGGACUUGACUGGGGAUACUGGCCCCAUAAACAGUACUAGAAUUGACCUUGACAUGGGUGAUACUGACACCCUCAACAACAGUAUCUCAAAUAACAUGGGGGAUACUGACCUCCACACAAAUAUAAACAACAGUAACUCAAAUAACAUGGGGGAUACUGACCUCCACACAAAUAUAAACAACAGUAACUCAAAUAACAUGGGGGAUACUGACCUCCACACAAAUAUAAACAACAGUAACUUGAAACUACUUGAAAAAUCUGAAUUGAAUAAACUUGAAAUAUCUGAACUGAAUAUACUUGAAAUAUCUGAAUUGAAUGAACUUGAAAUAUCUGAAUUAGAUAAACUUGAACUAUCUGAGUUGAAUCAAAACAGUAACAAUAACUGUGCAAAAGAAUUGAAUCAAAACAGUAACAAUAACUGUGCAAAAGAAUUGAAUCAAAACAGUAACAAUAACUGUGCAAAAGAAACUUGUAUUAUACAAACACAAUAUUUUCUGUCAAAUGAAUCAAACAAUAGUUAUGCAAAAACAGAUUCUCAUAGUAAUAUCCAAACUGAUCUGUUGCAAAACCAAAAUGAACAAUAUGAAAAUAAUUCAGAAGAAGAGCUAUCAAAAUAUGUCAAUUCUUUUAAUGCAAACUUUCUUAAAUUUGGAACUUUUGACCAGUAUGCCACAAAAUUUGCUGAUCAAAGCAGGGGAAACCAAUGUACUUGUAAUUGCUUAGUUUUCUUAUCACUUUCUUCUUUAAAUUUUGAUUCAAACACACUGAACCUGGAUUACAUUUUAAAUAAAGGAGAUGAAAUUUACAGGAAGCAUGUUCAAGAAUUAACAACACAGGGAUUAUUUAAAAAUAUGCUUUUGAAUUUUGAUGAAAUUCCUGUCAAAAUUGAAAUUCCUGAAGGGAUUUUUAUAAUUAACAAACAAAAUAUUCUGUUUGGUAUAGCUUUACAGUACCAAGAGUUGACUGGAUUUCUCUCAUUACAAGAAGCAAUUCAAAAUUGUAUUAAGCAGUCAAACAAAUUUCUUAUAAUGAUUGGAGCCAUAUGUUCGGCAGUUUAUUAUUAUAAUCAUAUAUAUACUAUUUUUUUGACACUCAUUCUCAUUCAGAAUGUACACUGAAUAAUCCAUUAGAUUCCUCUGGCAAAAGUAUUUUGAUUGGAUUUGCUGACUUACAUGACCUCCUCAGUUACUUGUAUGCUUUUUACACAAGUUUACAAAUUGAUUUAGACUCUCAAUUUGAAAUUUUACCUGUAUGUAUCAGUAGUAAAGAUACUGACAAAGAUGUGACCAAGCAGAUUAAGAAUUAUUUCGAUGAUCAGAAACUAAGGAACACAAAACAAACAAAAAAGUCUAACCAGUAUAUGAAAGGUACCAAAAUUUGUAUAUAUGAAAAACUACAUGCAAAAUAGAAGAAAAAAAUAAAAAAAUUCAAGGAAAAAGAAUUAAAUCAAAAAGAUAUUCAAGAAAGGAACAAAUUAUAAAGACGAGAAACGAAUAGAAAAAAGAUCUAGGAGAGAAAAUUCCGAUAUAAGACAGAUAGAUAGACAAAGGCAACUUGCUGCUAAAAGAGAGGCUAGAAAGAAUGAAGAUUUUAAUAAAAAAGAACUUGCUGCUAAAAGAGAAGUGAGAAAGGAUACAAAUUAUAGAAAGACUGAAGCAGAUAGAAAGAAGUCUCAAAGAGAUAAUUCUGAUAAAAGACAAAUAGAAAGACAAAGAGAACUUGCUGCUAAAAGAGAAGUUAGAAAGGAUAAAAAUUAUAGAAGGGCUGAAGCAGAAGAUAAAGAAGUCUCAAAGAGAUAAUCUUGUAUAAAAGACAAAUAGAGAGACAAAGAGAACUUGCUGCUAAAAGAGAAGUAAGAAAGGAUAAAAUUAUAGAAGGGCUGAAGCAAAAGAAAAAAAAGUCUCAGAGAGAAAAUUUAGAUGUAAGACAGAUAGAAAGACAAAGAGAACUUCUCUGCUAAAAGAGAAGUAAGAAAGGAUACAAAUUAUAGAAGGGCUGAAGCAGAAAGUAAAGAAGUCUCAAAGAGAUAAUUCUGAUAUAAGACAAAUAGAAAGACAAAGAGAACUUGCUGCUAAAAGAGAAGUAAGAAAGGAUACAAAUUAUAGAAAGACUGAAGCAAAUAGAAAGAAGUCUCAGAGAGAAAAUUCAGAUGUAAGACAGAUAGAAAGACAAAGAGAACUUGCUGCUAAAAGAGAACUUAGAAAGAAAGAAAAUUAUAGAAGAGCUGAAGCAGACAUUAAGAAGUCUCAAAGAGACAAUUCUGAUAAAAGACAAAUAGAGAGACAAAGAGAAAUUGCUGCUAAAAGAGAAGCUAGAAAGAAUGAUGUUUUCAAAAGAAAUGAAACAGAAAAGAAAAAAAUUGCCAGACAAGAUGAAGACUACAGAAAACAUGAGUCCGAACGGGACUACCACAGAAAAAAAGAAUAUAGGUCACAUCCAGAAAAUUUAGAAAAUGAGCGUUUGAAGAAACAGAGUUCUAGACAGAACAAACUAGAUAUAGACAGAUGUUAUGAUAAAACAGUUAAAAGUACUAAAAGAAAAAACAUUGAUUUCACAGAUCAUGAAAAAAACCUAAAAAAGAAAAGAGUUCAAGGUAUAACCCUUGAUGCUUGCAUAAGAAAUUUUAAAACAAAAAUUAAUGAUGGUCCUACAUAUAUAUGUACUUCAUGUCAACAAACUUGGUUUUGUGAUUCUGUAGUUAAUUCUAAAACUGUCAAAAUGACCACUCCUGCUAACAUGUCUCAUUGCUUUACUAAUUUUAAAUCUGUACAAGACAUAGAAUGGAUAUGUCAUACUUGUCUCAAUGCAAUUAAAAAACAAAGAAUUCCUCGAUUUUCAAUAGCCAAAUAAAAUGGGAUUUCCCCAAAAACCAAAAGAACUUAAAUUUGUAUCCUUUAGAAGAGAGACUGUUAUCAUUAAGAAUUCCUUUUAUGCAGAUUCGACAGUUGCCUAGAGGUGGACAGUUAUCAGUUAAAGGCAAUGUUGUAAAUGUGCCUGUUGAAGUUCAACCUACAAUAAAUUCACUUCCACAUACAUUAGAGAAAUCAGGUACAAUAUCAGUUAAACUGAAGAAGAAGCUGGAAUUCAAAAAGUGUGAUUUUAGUGAAAAUGUGAGACCAUUUGCUGUCAUUUGUGCAUUACAUUAUUUGAUGAGAACAAGUGACUUGUACAAGUCUUCUGGAAUAGAAAUAAAUGAGGAUUGGAUUACAGAAAUUGCCAAAAUAAAUGAAGAAACACAUGAAAAUGAAAACAAUAGUACAGAACAAGAGGAUAACCAAGAUCAGAAUGAUUCAGACGAUGACUCCGAUCAUUUCAGUGAAGUAGAUGAAAGUGAAACACAUGUUGGAAACACAGAUACACUGUUAGAUCACAUUCCAGACGACAAUCCACUAUGUGAUACAGGUUUAACUUUUGCUCCUGGUGAAGGUCAACGACCAAUUAGUCUCUACAGUGAUCCUGAUGCAGAGUACUUAUCUUUUCCAACUAUAUUUUGUGGUCAAAGAAGGCCAGAUAACAAAGACAGGUCUGUUUCUGUUCACUAUACUGAUAUUGUCAAAUGGGAACUAAGGUCCAUGGAUAGGAGAGUAGCACAGUCUGUACCAAACAUUUUUUUUAAGUUAAAGAAAAUUCAGUUAAAAAACAUAAGUGAUAAGGUCAAUCUUGCUCUGAGAAGGUGUCAAUCAGAAGGAAAAAAUGGACAGCAAAAGAUGUACUGAAUCCUAACACUGUAAAUGAUCUUGUAAGAUUAGAUGAAGGUUAUUAUAUCUUUAGAAGUUUAAGAAAUUCUCCAGUAUACCUUGAAAAGAGGAAAAAAGAUUUGUUUGCAAUGAUCAGACAGUUGGGUCUUCCAACAUGGUUUGGCUCUCUUUCAUCUGCAGACACUAACUGGAAAGAUUUGUUACGAAUUCUUGGCAAAUUAAAUGAUGGCAAAG